rnacentral:rRNA from 1 species
GAUCAUGGCUCAGAACGAACGCUGGCGGCAUGGGAUUAGGCAUGCAAGUCGAACGGGUGUAGCAAUACACUAGUGGCGAAAGGGUGAGGAACACGUGAGUAACUUGCCCCCAAGUUGGGAAUAACACCGGGAAACUGGUGCUAAUACCGAAUGUGAUUAUAGGGUCGCAUGGCUUUAUGAUUAAAGAUUUAUCGCUUGGGGAUAGGCUCGCGUUCCAUUAGCUAGUUGGUGAGGUAAUAGCUUACCAAGGCGAUGAUGGAUAGCUGGUCUGAGAGGAUGGCCAGCCACACUGGGACUGAGACACUGCCCAGACUCCUACGGGAGGCUGCAGUCGAGAAUCUUCCGCAAUGGGCGAAAGCCCUGACGGAGCAAUGCCGCGUGUAGGAUGAAGGUCUUCGGAUUGUAAACUACUGUCACCAGGGACGAAAAAAGUGACGGUACCUGGAGAGGAAGCCACGGCAAACUACGUGCCAGCCGCCGC